AUCAACAAUGCGCAGCAAUGCUACGUCACUUAAGGGACUAAUUACCUGAUUUUUACUUACAGGUGGUGGCUGCAUUUGUACCACCCACAGAGCUUGCGAAGUUAUAAAAUCCAACACACCCUCCCAUUCACUAGUGUAGAAAUUUAGCUUAGGGCGAAACAUGUGCGUUUAUUCAAAGUGCCACGGACAUACAGUGGGAAGGGCGGUGCUCAAAGAGGAAAGCGAGGCGAAAUUUGAGGUGCUGUCCUAUACAUCAUGCUGUGUAUUCAGUCAUGUAUAAAUUGGUGUGGGAAGGCAGCUUGACAUGUGAUUACCAGCACACACAGGAGAUAACUGCAAUCAAACAACUUGACAACAACACUGCAGCUGAGCCACCAGUCCUAGGAUCCUCAGUAAAUAGAAGCUGUGUCCCAGUGUCCCAUUUCGAAGGCUCCUUCCAAUGUGGCUGAGAAAUGUGUUGUCCUUUCGCUGGUCAACGGAGACUCCAACUGGUGGAUCUUUUGCAGCUAACCCUGUUCCAAGAGCCUUUGCACACUGGCAGAGGCAGAGCGGCUCUCAAGGUUUCUAGGCAACAGUAGGGGCAGUGAGUAUGCUGCUGUCUUCAGUGUCUAAAUCUAAGCCACACAGACUGGUCAGCACUCUCCAUUAAGAAAGGAAAAAAGACGGAAAGGGGUCAGAAAGAUAAAUGAUCCAGCCUCUAGUACUGGUCAAGUAAUGGAACAUAAUUGGAUAGUCUUUGGGAGAUGGUGAGAAGAAGAAUGACAGCUUAGUAAAAUCAGGGAAAGCUGCUGAUGGAGAGCCAGCCUACACAGAAGAGGAGUGACAGAACUGACAGAAAAUUUUGCAGGUAUUGUAUUGGCCUGGAGAUCACAGAGUAGGCUUCACCCCAGUUCAUCCUGAGAGGGAACAUGAAUGACUGUAACAAGCACAAAGGCAAUCCAUCCAACAACUGUGAAGGAAUUCAAAACCAGAAGUAUCAGCCUCAUAAUGCCAGGGAUAACAAAAUCAACAGGAUUCAUUAAGUCAGUCUUGUGUGAAAGUUUUGUGCC